CUCGGGCUCAGGCUCGGGGAGGCAGGGAGGUGCUGAGAAGAGCCACGGCACGCACAGCAACGGAAGGGAGAUGCCCCCAACAAUCCCAAGGAAUUCUCCGGCAAUCUACUUAAACCAGCAGAUUAUCUUGAGGAGGAGCAGCUAGAAAGGCGAUGGAAGAGGAUCAUGAUGACUAUGCCACAUUCUCAGCCUCAGCUCCUCGAACUCCCUCUGACUUCAAAGGAAACUGCUUGAAGAGGGAGGGCACACAAUAGGAGAAUUGGUCUGAUUAUCCCCCUCUGUUUAGAAAUAGGUAAAGAUUAUAGAUAUGUUUUCUUCUUUCUGUGCUUUGGACUAUAUAAUGUCAAUUACCUCAAGCAAAACCCCCUACUGAGGUUAAUGCACAGAUUUGGAUUAUACCAAGACUGGAAACAAGAUAUUAAUAAUAAUCCAUAACAGUGUGAGUGUGACAUAAUGAA